rnacentral:rRNA from 1 species
GACAGAGGGGGCAAGCGUUGUUCGGAAUUACUGGGCGUAAAGGGCGCGUAGGCGGCCUUCUAAGUCGAACGUGAAAUCCCCGGGCUCAACCCGGGGAACUGCGUCCGAUACUGGAAGGCUUGAAUCCGGGAGAGGGAUGCGGAAUUCCAGGUGUAGCGGUGAAAUGCGUAGAUAUCUGGAGGAACACCGGUGGCGAAGGCGGCAUCCUGGACCGGCAUUGACGCUGAGGCGCGACAGCGUGGG